CACGUAGGGCGCAAGCGUUGUCCGGAAUUACUGGGCGUAAAGCGCACGUAGGCGGCUUUGCAAGUUAGAGGUGAAAGCCCGGGGCUCAACUCCGGAAUUGCCUUUAAAACUGCAUCGCUAGAAUUGUGGAGAGGUAAGUGGAAUUCCGAGUGUAGAGGUGAAAUUCGUAGAUAUUCGGAAGAACACCAGUGGCGAAGGCGACUUACUGGACACAUAUUGACGCUGAGGUGCGAAAGCGUGGGGAGCAAACAGG
rnacentral:rRNA from 1 species